rnacentral:rRNA from 1 species
UACGUAGGAGGCAAGCGUUGUCCGGAAUUACUGGGCGUAAAGCGCGUGUAGGUGGUGGGACAAGUCUGCUGUGAAAGCGCCUGGCUUAACCGGGCGAGGUCGGGCGGAAACUGUUCGACUAGAGGACGGUAGAGGGGGGUGGAAUUCCCGGUGUAGUGGUGAAAUUCGUAGAUAUUCGGAAGAACACCAGUGGCGAAGGCGGCUCACUGGACCGUUGUUGACGCUGAGGUGCGAAAGCGUGGGGAGCAAACAGGG